CAGGCACUCACAGCUGCAUAACAUUGUCUUUGCUUCUUCCGGCUCACCAUUGAUAAAGGGAAUUGUAAUGUGAACAGUCGAGAUGAGAGUUUUCUGUAGAUCAGGAGAAUCUGCAGAGCUGCUGAAUGUCAUCUCAGCCAACACUGGAUACAAAAAAGCUACAGAGGCACUGAACAAAGGGUAAUAAAGAUUAAUGCCGAUGAGAUUUGAACUGAGAGACUGUGCUGCCUGUCAGGAAAGAUGAAACUGACUGAUUCUACUGUCUCUAGAGAAUAUUGAUGAGUUCCCUGAUGGAAUACUGGGACACCAUUAUUGCCUCAUCCCUAACUGAUAAGGGCCACCUGCAGUGCUAUGGGUCUUGAGUUGCCUGUAGGCCUGACCAGCUAUCACCCCAUGGCGUGAUGAAAACCAACAUCAGAAGAUGUGAAGGAGAUUCGUACACUGUCCUAUUAUAUGGAAUUCAAAAGCACAGAGCUGUUUAACCCCAAAAGCCAGGAAGAAACUCACUGGGCAGCAAAAUGUCCUGAGCCCCAUGUGAGUGAACAAGCAGGGCCACGAAUCUUCAAAUAAGAGGCCUCCACAGAGACCUUUCAGAGCUGCUGGCCCAAUUGGAGAGCUUUUAGACUCACCUGGGAGUCUGAUCGUCAAAUCAUCCCAUUCCCCGAAACCACCUGUCCCUCCACCUGUGACAGAGGCUGUUAGUAGUGCUUCAGAUGAUUCAGUCACCUGAGAACUUAUUAUUAGCGUGAAACUACUUCUGUGCAGGCUGCCUCAGAAGAAGAGGUGUUAGCCCAGCUGCCUCAAUGGUUCAUCCAAUGACAGCCGAUCCUGCAGAGAGAUGUGCCUGUAUCUACACACGCCAACAGAUUCAAGAACAGCUUCUUCCCUGCUAUUAUUAGACUUCUGAAUGGGCUUCUCAAAUUUUAAAUUUAAUGUUGAUCUCACUACCUUCUCUGCAGCCGUAACAUUGCCUUCCUCGCUCUGUUCUAUUAUCCUUAGGCACUUUGCGUGAUAUGAGCUGCCUGUACUGCAUGCAAAACAAAACUUUUCACUGUGCCUAGGUACACGUGACAAUAAAAAAAACAAGUCAAAAAUGUGCAGAUAAGGUACAGUGCUGAUGCUGGGCAAAUGGAAUGAUGAAACUCUAUCUUCAUCGAAGGUGACAGGAACCACAGACGGGAAUGUACGGGAAGCUUUCUAGGGAUUGGUGCAAAGUGUUAUUUUAAUAACUGAUACAGACAUGAAGGACACACUUUAAUUAAGAAUCCUGUAGCAGGUUAAAAAGAAGGAAUGUUAGAUACAGGGAAGUGGGCAGGAUGCAUGGGUAAAGUUACCAUAGUUUUGCUCCCUUAUUUGAGAGAGAUAAGUAGUGAUGGUUUCACCUGAAGGUCACUGUGCCUCAGAGAAAGCCCAUGUCUUGAGCUAGCCAAACCUCACAUGGAUAGGAAGCAUCCAUUUGUGAGUGUUGAGCAAAUGUUUAGUCCUCAUGGAGCAAUUAGAUCGAGAGGUCAUAGUUUUAGGAUAAAGGGCAGCAGAAUUAAAACAGACAUGAGGAGGAAUUAUUUCUCUCAGAUGGUAGGGGCGGCCAGGACACAAUAAAAUUAAGGAGGGCAUAGAGAUAUUUUUAAUUAGUAACGAGUUAAAGGGUUGAGGACAACAGGCAGGAUAGUGGGUGUGUGGCCAAGAUGCGAUCAUAUCGGCCCAAGGCGCUGAGUUGCCCACCCCUACUCUUAGAUCUUAAAUUUUUAUGCUGAAUUCUGUAAACAAGUCUGUCAUCGAGAAAAUAAUUAGAUUUUUGCUUGAGCUUCAUGCAUCAACUUCAGACAAUUAACUGCAAGUUUCGGAAUAUGUUUAAAUUAUGAGUUAAAGUCAACUUAAAGGUCAAGUUGCUCAGAACUUUGCAGCAGGUUGAUGCUGUUUUGAUAUGCAGAGACAGUGUGGUUUAGACACAAGAAAGUGUGAACAAGACAAAACCAGCCAUGGAAUAUAUAUUAAUGAUGGGGGAUUUUUGGACCACUAUUGCUGACCAGAAUAAAGUUUGUC